UACGUAGGGGGCAAGCGUUGUCCGGAUUUAUUGGGCGUAAAGAGCGUGUAGGCGGCCUGACAGGUCAGCUGUGAAAACUCGAGGCUCAACCUCGAGACGUCGGUUGAAACCAUCUGGCUAGAGUCCGGAAGAGGAGUGUGGAAUUCCCGGUGUAGCGGUGAAAUGCGUAGAGAUCGGGAGGAACACCAGUGGCGAAGGCGGCCUUCUGGACCAAUACUGACGCUCAUGCACGAAAGCGUGGGGAGCAAACAGG
rnacentral:rRNA from 1 species